rnacentral:lncRNA from 1 species
UCAGAAAACAGAAUCCAACAUUAUCUACAGACAUUAAAAUUCAGUCCUUUGAUUCUUCUAUCAAGCUUGUUACAUGGCUACUAUUGCUACCUACAAGUUACAGAGCAGAGAAGGAACCAGAAAGACAAGGGCCUGUUUCUGUCACACAACCAGCAGGUGGCAGAGCCAAGACUCAAUCAAAUAUACAGUCCUCAUACCAGUGAUUAGGAUUUAGAAUCAUUAUGAAAACAAAACUUGAGGGACGCCUUGGAAGGAAUGACUAGAGUUGGUUCAUCAAGGCAGGGAGAUUCACCUUAAAU